UGAGUAACCUGCCCCCGACUUCGGGAUAACUCCGGGAAACCGGUGCUAAUACCGGAUAUGAGGUGCCUUCGCAUGGGGGUGUCUGGAAAGAUUUAUCGGUUGGGGAUGGGCUCGCGGCCUAUCAGCUUGUUGGUGGGGUGAUGGCCUACCAAGGCGACGACGGGUAGCCGGCCUGAGAGGGCGACCGGCCACACUGGGACUGAGACACGGCCCAGACCUCCGUACGGGGAGCAG
rnacentral:rRNA from 1 species